AGUGAACGCUGGCGGUAGGCCUAACACAUGCAAGUCGAACGGCAGCACAGUAAGAGCUUGCUCUUACGGGUGGUGAGUGGCGGACGGGUGAGGAAUACGUCGGAAUCUACUUUUUCGUGGGGGAUAACGUAGGGAAACUUACGCUAAUACCGCAUACGACCUACGGGUGAAAGCAGGGGAUCUUCGGACCUUGCGCGAUUGAAUGAGCCGAUGUCGGAUUAGCUAGUUGGCGGGGUAAAGGCCCACCAAGGCGACGAUCCGUAGCUGGUCUGAGAGGAUGAUCAGCCACACUGGAACUGAGACACGGUCCAGACUCCUACGGGAGGCAGCAGUGGGGAAUAUUGGACAAUGGGCGCAAGCCUGAUCCAGCCAUACCGCGUGGGUGAAGAAGGCCUUCGGGUUGUAAAGCCCUUUUGUUGGGAAAGAAAAGCAGCAGGUUAAUACCCCGCUGUUCUGACGGUACCCAAAGAAUAAGCACCGGCUAACUUCGUG
rnacentral:rRNA from 1 species